rnacentral:rRNA from 1 species
GGAGGAAAAGAAACCAACCGGGAUUGCCUUAGUAACGGCGAGUGAAGCGGCAAAAGCUCAAAUUUGAAAUCUGGUACCUUCGGUGCCCGAGUUGUAAUUUGGAGAGGGCAACUUUGGGGCCGUUCCUUGUCUAUGUUCCUUGGAACAGGACGUCAUAGAGGGUGAGAAUCCCGUGUGGCGAGGAGUGCGGUUCUUUGUAAAGUGCCUUCGAAGAGUCGAGUUGUUUGGGAAUGCAGCUCUAAGUGGGUGGUAAAUUCCAUCUAAAGCUAAAUAUUGGCGAGAGACCGAUAGCGAACAAGUACAGUGAUGGAAAGAUGAAAAGAACUUUGAAAAGAGAGUGAAAAAGUACGUGAAAUUGUUGAAAGGGAAGGGCAUUUGAUCAGACAUGGUGUUUUGUGCCCUCUGCUCCUUGUGGGUAGGGGAAUCUCGCAUUUCACUGGGCCAGCAUCAGUUUUGGUGGCAGGAUAAAUCCAUAGGAAUGUAGCUUGCCUCGGUAAGUAUUAUAGCCUGUGGGAAUACUGCCAGCUGGGACUGAGGACUGCGACGUA